UAUUAAGGAUACAUGAAUAGUUGAAGUGCUGGAGGAGAUCCACAAGGGAAUCGCAGUGGGAAGGAACAUGCCAAGUGGGACUUCGAUCUCUACAUGGACAUUCUGCCGGCCGCGUCCUCGCAAAGAAACAGAACCACCAGUAAUACGAUCUCCGACGACCUCUCCAUUAG